rnacentral:rRNA from 1 species
CCUACGGGGGACAGCAGUGGGGGAUAUUGCACAAUGGGGGGAACCCUGAUGCAGCGACGCCGCGUGGGUGAAGGAGCGUUUCGGCGCGUAAAGCCCUAGCGGCAGGGAAGAAGAUGACGGUACCUGACCAAGAAGCCCCGGCUAACUACGUGCCAGCAGCCGCGGGAAUACGUAGGGGGCAAGCGUUAUCCGGAUUUACUGGGUGUCAAGGGGGCGCAGACGGCAAUGCAAGCCAGGAGUGAACGCCCGGGGCCCAACCCCGGGACUGCUCUUGGAACUGCAUGGCUGGAGUACAGGAGGGGCAGGCGGAAUUCCUAGUGUAGCGGUGCACUGCGUCGAUAUUAGGAGG